GUGGGCAAUGGGAUCGGAGGGGGGUUCCAUUCCACAAAACUUAGAAGGAACCGCUUGCUGCAGAGGGACUCAAUGUAUUUGGGAGUCCAGGUUACUGGAUAAUCAUAAACUACAUUUGCUUUGCAACAGAUUGCUCUCCAUUUGAAGAGACGGUGUUCCAACCCAUGCAUGAUGCUAUUUAGGGUGCCUCUGUAGUCACUUCAACCCUAGAAUGCAGCGACACAUAAGCAUUCUUAUGAGAAAUCUUAUUCUUGGCCUCAGAAAAAAAAUCACAAGAAACCACAGAUAAACGUGGCAGAAACAUUUAUUCCAGUUCCCUCACUAUUGUUUUAUAUCUUUUUUCAAUUCUUCCUUCAUAAAGACUACCUUUUCUUAUGUUUGUCUUCUCUUAUACCACAAUUAAGAAAAGAAUACCUUGCUUCCCUGGCUGUUUAUAAACAAGGACACCAGACCCUGGCUGUCCGUGAGUACCCAAAAGCAUUUGGAAAUGUGUGUUCAUUUUUCUGGCUGUCAUGACGACUUGUGGGAGCUCCUGGCAUUUGAGUCCAGGAAUCCAUGGGUGCCAAUCCUGCUGUAUGGUUGCAGACUAGGAAGACUCCUCUGCCCUGAUGCCAACAGUGUUCCCCACCAAGAAAGUGUUCUUCUCUUCCUUCUGCUAAGUAGUCAACUGAAGUAGGAGUAAAAGCAACCAAAGGGAGCAUAUUUGCCAUCUCAAUGCGUGAGCUGCUGAGGGAGUGGGGAAAGAUUCCACAUGGCUGCGUCCUAUGUCCUAUGUGUCCUCUUCUCCUCCAUGGACAUCAGGUGGGCCCUAGAUCUGCAGCACCCAUCUUAUGAGCCAAAUCUAAAGAUUCUGAAAGAAUCACACCAAUGACAGCCUGGACAUUUGAGGCCACAGAGCCAGCACCCACCAUCAACCGGAUUUUCUGUUAUUUAUGCAGCUGAAAACUAAGACCGCAUUUAACUUAGUAUAUUUUAAACGUCUGUGUAAACAGCUGUAAAAGGAAAAGGCUAUUUAUUAAAAGAAAUACUUUAUGGAGGAAACAGUCAAGAAAUCAGUCAAAAGGAAUGCAUUUCAGAUACCAAAAUGUAAAAUGUGAAAGCUGCUGAGUGUGGUGGAGCUGUUGGUGGGUGGAUGUCUCCUGUUCAUGACUUUCAAGUGUCAACCAACUGCUCUGAAAUCUCUUAGUGUGAGUCAUAGGAAACAUGAUUUGCAGUGCCAGAGAAGCUUGUACUUAAUACAUGCUGGACCACUUACUAGCUGAAUGGUUUGGAGCAACAUAUUUAAACUCUCUAAACUUAAACCUGCUCAUUUGUAAUAUGAAAUAAAAAUAAUGUCAACCUUACUUGGCUAUGAUGAGGCAACACCUACUCUGUCGAUGCUAAUAAAAGUCAAACCACGAACCUACAAAUAAGGUUAGUAUUCCAUGGACCCUCGAGAGAAGUGGCUGUAUGAACUAAAUGAGAACUUGUGUUCUUAAAGUGGAAAAUUUAACCAUGGAGGAGAAGUUGACUAGAAAACAGAGUGAACUCAGUCUUGAGAGGAAGUCCACAAGCUUCACCUUGUGCCUGCUUCUGAAGGAAUUCUCAUCAACUGCUGAAACAUGAGCUUCUGAGUGUCCUCCUCACAUCUAAUCAAGUGCUUCAGCCACAGAUAAAAGCUUAGGAUCAUCUACUUGAUCCAGGGGUAACUGAGAUUAAAAUGGUUUUGGAACCUGCUGCCCUUCAGACCUACUAUAAUUAAAAUCAAAUCUUGACCCCUUUCAUGGGGCUUCUGGCGACUCUGCCCACUUUUGGGCACUGAUGCAUUGGGCACCCAUAAUUACACUCACCUUGCACUGCAGCUCAUGCCAGUUUGUACAUGUACAAAGAACUUGUGAGCUCUUCCCAAAAGAUGAGAUGCUCAAAUUCCCUGCUGUUUUUCUCUCAAUAGAAUGGAAACCACAGAAAAUACUGGAGUCUGUGGCCUCUGCAUUCAUGCUCCAGAAUCUGGGGCCAGGCAGAGCUCAGUCUGAGUGUGACUGACCAUCAGUUCUCAACUCAAUGACACUAGAGAAUGACUCAACUUCUUCAUCUUCAAUUUUAUGAUGUUGGAAGGGAGCAAAGGAAUCAAUUGAUGGGGAAUAAACUAUAUGCAAGGCUAAAAAGUGCAAAGCCACAAUUAAAUAUGAGAAAAUUCAUUUCAUUCUAAAAGUUUAAUGUAUAAUAAUAAAAGGCUGUAUGUUUUCA